GGACGCCCGCCCACCCAGCCCUGCCUGGGCGUCACGGAAACCCUGGAUGACGACAGGUGCCUCCUGGCUCCUGGGAUUGCGGUGGGUGGCAAAGAGUCACCCUGAGUCAGCCGGACCGAGUAGGCGCAGGGGGUGUUGCUGGGGUCCGGCAGGGUGUCCCACUGUUGGGACUGUCCCAGAGGAGCUGCGACGCCGACUGCAGAGGUCUAGAUGCCCAGAUGCCCAGGAGCUGCCUCCCAAGAAGAGAGAUCACCUGUGCACCCCCUCCAAGGGAAUGGAAAGCUGCUUCUGGAAGCAGAGGCUCUUCUGGGUACUGGAAACUUCAGCUAUGAAAGACUGCCGUCAAGGAGCCGGCACCCUGGCAGGGACAUGCUGAACAGACAACUCACACCUGGAACGUGUGUACAUCUGUGGCCCGUCUCUCCCGCCGUAAUGAACGCUCUAGAAGGACAUUGCCUAUCUUGUCCAUGGCUCUAGCUCCAGCACAUAGGACAGUGGUGGCCAGCACACCCGAGGUGCUCAGUGAACACGUGUUGAAUGCGUCCCCCCCUCCAGUGAAGCCCUAACUCCCCAUCCCUGUUAAUGCGACCUUAUUUGGAAAUGAUCAAUCAAGUUGAGGUGAUCGGGGUGGGCUCUGAUCCAAUAUGACCGUGCCCUUACAAAAAAGGGGAGACUGAAGACAGACAUAUAUAGAGGGAAAGGUGAUGUGAAGACACAGAAAGAGUGCCAUCUACGAACCAUGGAACCCCUGAGACCGCCAGAAACUCGGAGAGAGGCCUGGAACAGACAUCUUGAUCUUGAACUCCUAGUCUCGAGAAUUUUGAGCCGAUAUAUCUGUGUCGUUGGUGGCCUUUGUUAGGGCAGCCCCGGGAAAGGAAGACACCCAGCUUAUUCCUUCUGUGGUCCCCUGUGGGCGUGUCCAGCUCCCCAUCCGUCCGUGCCCCACACUGUAGACUAUUGUCAACUGUCUUUCCAAUGCUGAGCGCCCUGAAGGCAAGAGAACUAUGUCUGAUUGGCUCUGCUCCCUAGCACCCAAGCUGUGUUUUUAUCCUACGUUGGAAAAUGUGUAGUGAGCCCCUCCCAAGUGUCAGGUAUAAGGCCAGGCCUGGGGACAACAAAAUGAAGCCACAGUUUGUGUCAAAUGCCAUGGGAAACUGGGAGGGAGAGAAAGACAGAGAGAGAGAGAGGGAGGGAGAGAGACUGCCUGGCAGAUGGCAGGAACUCCACGAAUGCCCCAGACUUCCGUAAAAAUCACCUCUGCUUUUAUUUCAUUUUACGGUUUUACAGUGCACAUUAAUUCAUUGUCUCUUUCAUGAAUCAAGCUCAAGUCAGCAUGGAUUUGUAGGGACAGGCGAUAUCAAGUGGUGGGGGGGGGGGGCGGUGGGUGAGUUCUAAAGCCAGGCUUCGAGGUCCGAUUCCUGGCUCCAUCACUUACUGCCGUGACCCUGGACAAGUUACUGAGCCUCACUGUGCCUCAAUUUCCUCAUCUGUAAAACGGAGCUCUUCUUUUAGUA